rnacentral:rRNA from 1 species
AGAGUUUGAUCCUGGCUCAGGACGAACGCUGGCGGCGUGCUUAACACAUGCAAGUCGAACGGUGAAGUCCCUUCGGGGGCGGAUCAGUGGCGAACGGGUGAGUAACACGUGGGCAAUCUGCCCCUCACUGUGGGAUAACUCCGGGAAACCGGGGCUAAUACCGCAUAUGAAGCCUGGCGGCAUCGCCGGGUUUGGAAAGUUUUUCGGUGAGGGAUGAGCCCGCGGCCUAUCAGCUUGUUGGUGAGGUAAUGGCUCACCAAGGCGACGACGGGUAGCCGGCCUGAGAGGGCGACCGGCCACACUGGGACUGAGACACGGCCCAGACUCCUACGGGAGGCAGCAGUGGGGAAUAUUGGGCAAUGGGCGAAAGCCUGACCCAGCGACGCCGCGUGG